rnacentral:rRNA from 1 species
UUGAACGCUGGCGGCAGGCCUAACACAUGCAAGUCGAACGGUAACAGGAAGCAGCUUGCUGCUUCGCUGACGAGUGGCGGACGGGUGAGUAAUGUCUGGGAAACUGCCUGAUGGAGGGGGAUAACUACUGGAAACGGUAGCUAAUACCGCAUAACGUCGCAAGACCAAAGAGGGGGACCUUAGGGCCUCUUGCCAUCGGAUGUGCCCAGAUGGGAUUAGCUAGUAGGUGGGGUAACGGCUCACCUAGGCGACGAUCCCUAGCUGGUCUGAGAGGAUGACCAGCCACACUGGAACUGAGACACGGUCCAGACUCCUACGGGAGGCAGCAGUGGGGAAUAUUGCACAAUGGGCGCAAGCCUGAUGCAGCCAUGCCGCGUGUAUGAAGAAGGCCUUCGGGUUGUAAAGUACUUUCAGCGGGGAGGAAGGGAGUAAAGUUAGUACCUUUGCUCAUUGACGUUACCCGCAGAAGAAGCACCGGCUAACUCCGUG